AUUGACGGACUGAAGGCUCUUUCUCGAUUCCGUGGAAAGUGGUGCAUGGCCGUUUUUGGUUGGUGGAUCGAUCCGUCUGGUUAAUUCCGUUAACGAACGAGACCUCGGCACUCCGAAUAGCGCGGCGGACGUCGCGGCCUCCGGGCCGUCUUCCGCGCGAGCUUCUUAGAGGGGACCGUCCCCCCGCCGGGGGAAGGAGGUGCGAGGCAACGACAGGUCUGUGAUGCCCUUAGAUGUUCUGGGCCGCACGCGCAUUACACUGACGCGUCCAACGGGUGACUCCCGACCCGAAGGGGCCGGGGAAUCCGCAAGGCGCGUCGUGAUGGGGAUUGAACGUUGCAAUUGUUGUUCACGAACGAGGAAUUCCUAGUAGGCGCGGGGUCAUCAACCCGCGCCGAUUACGUCCCUGCCCUUUGUACACACCACCC
rnacentral:rRNA from 1 species